UACGUAGGGGGCAAGCGUUGUCCGGAUUUAUUGGGCGUAAAGAGCGUGUAGGCGGCCUUACAGGUCAGCUGUGAAAACUCGAGGCUCAACCUCGAGACGUCGGUUGAAACCGUAAGGCUAGAGUCCGGAAGAGGAGAGUGGAAUUCCUGGUGUAGCGGUGAAAUGCGCAGAUAUCAGGAAGAACACCCGCGGCGAAGGCGGCUCUCUGGGACGGUACUGACGCUGAGACGCGAAAGCGUGGGGAGCGAACAGG
rnacentral:rRNA from 1 species